rnacentral:rRNA from 1 species
UAAAUUGCUGAAGUAUUUUGACUUUACGAAGGUAUUGAAAUAAGACUUUAAUUGAGUGCUAAGAGAAUGGAUUAAUGAUAAUUAUUUUUAUUGUAUUUAAUUAUUAGAAUUUCAUUUAAGAAUGAAAAAGUUUUUAUUAACGUAUGGGACAAGAAGACCCUGUGAAUUUUAUUUGAUUUAAUGAGAUAAUUUGUUAAAUUCAUAAUUUGAUUGGGGCGAUAGAAAAAUAUUUGAAAACUUUAUUUAAAUGAUGUUUUAUAGGUUAAAAAGAAAAUACUCUAGGGAUAACAGCGUUAUUACUAUGGAGAGUUCAUAUUGGUAUAGUAGUUUGCGACCUCGAUGUUGAAUUUGACACACCUAGUUGUUGUAGAGAAUCACUAAGGGAGAUUGUUCAUCUUUUAAAUUGUUACGUGAUCUGAGUUCAGACCGGA